CAAACGAGUGUUUUAUGGCACUUUUUAAAUCCAUAUCCACCUUGUGUGCAAUGUCAGUCGAUCUUCUUCAUGGAGUUCGACCAAACAUCAACCUAAUCUUUUAACUCUUUGUCUGAAAAAUAUUAUGAAUAAACAAUUCAAAAUA
rnacentral:misc_RNA from 1 species